rnacentral:rRNA from 1 species
AGAGCGAACGCUGGCGGCAGGCCUAACACAUGCAAGUCGAGCGGGCAUCGCAAGAUGUCAGCGGCAGACGGGAGAGUAACACGUGGGAACAUGCCCUUCGGUUCGGAAUAACUCAGGGAAACUUGAGCUAAUACCGGAUACGUCCGUAAGGAGAAAGAUUUAUCGCCGAAGGAUUGGCCCGCGUCCGAUUAGCUAGUUGGUGAGGUAAUGGCUCACCAAGGCGACGAUCGGUAGCUGGUCUGAGAGGAUGAUCAGCCUCACUGGGACUGAGACACGGCCCAGACUCCUACGGGAGGCAGCAGUGGGGAAUAUUGGACAAUGGGCGCAAGCCUGAUCCAGCCAUGCCGCGUGGGUGAUGAAGGCCCUAGGGUUGUAAACCUCUUUCAGCAGGAACGAAUUUAGACGGUACCUGCAGAAGAAGCACCGGCCAACUACGUGCCAGCAGCCGC